AGGCUGCAACUCGCCUGCAUGAAGUCGGAAUUGCUAGUAAUCGUAGGUCAGCAUACUACGGUGAAUACGUUCCCGGGCCUUGUACACACCGCCCGUCAAACCAUGAGAGUUGGCAACACCCGAAGUCGGUAGUCUAACCGCAAGGAGGACGCCGCCGAAGGUGGGUUNAUGAUUAGGGUUAAGUCGUAACAAGGUAUC
rnacentral:rRNA from 1 species